rnacentral:rRNA from 1 species
GACGAACGCUGGCGGCGUGCUUAACACAUGCAAGUCGAACGGAAAGGCCCUGCUUUUGUGGGGUGCUCGAGUGGCGAACGGGUGAGUAACACGUGAGUAAACUGCCCUUGACUUUGGGAUAACUUCAGGAAACUGGGGCUAAUACCGGAUAGGAGAUCCUGCUGCAUGGUGGGGGUUGGAAAGUUUCGGAGGUUGGGGAUGGACUCGCGGCUUAUCAGCUUGUUGGUGGGGUAGUGGCUUACCAAGGCUUUGACGGGUAGCCGGCCUGAGAGGGUGACCGGCCACAUUGGAACUGAGACACGGUCCAGACUCCUACGGGAGGCAGCAGUAGGGAAUCUUCCGCAAUGGGCGAAAGCCUGACGGAGCAACGCCGCGUGAGUGAUGAAGGUCUUCGGAUCGUAAAACUCUGUUAUUAGGGAAGAACAUAUGUGUAAGUAACUGUGCACAUCUUGACGGUACCUAAUCAGAAAGCCACGGCUAACUACGUG